GUUUCCGGUCGCGGGGCCCAGGCUGCCGCCGGGUGCGAAUGGGCCUCGGUGGGGUCCGCGGGUUCGAGUCCCUACUCGGGGAUGAGCCUCUUUGAUCUCUUUCGGGGCUUUUUCGGCCUUUCUCCACCUCGGAGCCACAGAGACCCCUUUUUUGGAGGGAUGACACGAGAUGAAGAUGAGGAUGAUGAAGAAGAGGAAGAAGAAGGAGCCACGUGGGGCCGUGGGAGCUCGAGGUUUGAGGGUCCGCAGCCCCCGGAGGAAUUUGGCUUCGGCUUCAGCUUCAGCCCGGGAGGAGGGAUGCGUUUCCAUGAGAACUUCGGCUUUGAUGACCUAAUACAGGAUUUUAACAACAUCUUCAGCGAGAUGGGGGCCUGGACCUUGCCUUCCCGCCCUCCUGAACUUCCUGGUCCUGGUCCUGAGUCAGAGAUACCUGGUGAGAGACGGCAGGAGGGACAGACUCUCCGGGACUCAAUGCUUAAGUAUCCAGAUAGUCACCAGCCCAGGAUCUUUGGGGGGGGCUUGGAGAGUGAUGCAAGAAGUGAAUCCCCCAAACCAGCGCCGGACUGGGGCUCCCAGAGGCCAUUUGGUCUGUUUGAUGAUUUGUGGCCUAUGCCCCCCCAUUCUAGAGGCAGAGAAGACAACGGUGAGUGUGGAGAUCUUGAUUCCCAGGUUUCCCAGGAGGGCCUCGGUCCAGUUCUGCAGCCCCAGCCCAAAUCCUAUUUCAAGAGCGUCUCUGUGACCAAGAUCACUAAGCCAGAUGGGACAGUAGAGGAGCGCCGAACUGUGGUGGACAGCGAGGGCCGGACAGAGACCACAGUAACCCAUCAAGAAGCAGACGGCGGCCCUAGAGAUGAUCCAGAAUCACCAGCACCUCCAGCCCUGGAUGACACCUAUUCCAUCCUGGAUUUGUUCUUAGGACGCUGGUUCCGGCCCCGGUAGCCUCGUUAAGCCUCAGCGGCCUUCAGAUCCCUUCCACGCUUCGCUCACCAUCCGUGUCUCCUCCUGCCACCUCGGCCUGGGGUGUGCGGAGCAGUGAAUUGGGGCUUUUCAGAGCAUCACAGAAACACACGGAGCUGGAGACUAGCGGACAUCUGUGGAUGGCUCACAGCUUGAAAGCUGGAGACGCAUACAAACUAAAGAAGCAACUUGGGAGAAACAGUCUGCAGAGAGAUGAAAAUUUAGCAAGGAUACGUCUUUAAUGUCUUUAGAAAUAUAAGAUGAUACGUCCAUACAGCCAGAACAUACUCCUAUGAAGAGGAAUAAACUUUGGGGAGUUAAAAAAAAUGUGAUGGCAGAAAUGAAAAUCUAUAAAACGAUUCUGACGACAAAGUUGAGAAACUCUCCAGGAAGGUAGACCAAGUAAUAGAUAUAUAGAAAACAGGCAGCAAUGCACACCUGAAAGUAAUGUUAUAUGUUAACUAUACUUCAAUUUAAAAAGAUUAUUUUCAAAGAAAAUAGAAAAAAAAAAUAAAACUGGAAUGGUACAAACCAUCAA